rnacentral:lncRNA from 1 species
CAAAAAAAACCAUUUAAAUUGAGUUGUAAAUCUAGUGAAAACAAGACCUACAUGUAUAAUUGUUAAUUUCUGUGUCAUUUGAUCUCUUGUGGAGAGUUGUUUCAUUGGCAAUCACAGGGUUCUCGUUAAGGAUUUUUGAAGGCGAGUCCAGGGACUCGUCAUUUUUGGCCAUGGUGAGUCCAACAGCAAGGAGAAGAUAUUGUAUUGCAAUAUAAUGUAAUAUUUAAGUCUCCAUGGCCUAACAGAGCAAUGAAAUGACAUUAAAUUCUGAUUACUUUUAAACUUUUGCUAUAAAAUGAUGAUACAUGUAUUUGUAUUUAACUGUGUUUAGUUUAUACAUGUUAUACAAAAUAUUUCUAUCUUGAUGCAUCUGUGGACUCGCUAGUUUUGAAAAUGAUGAGUCCAGACAGAUUUUGAUGAGUCCAGGACUCAUGGACUCGCCUUAGUGAGAACCCUGAAAUUUAAUUGAAUCAUACCAUAUCUUCCUUUUUAUAUGGCCAAACCAUCGCCUCGAUUAAAAAAAAAUUGUACCAUUAAUAACAGUGUUCCAGCUAGCAUGAAAUGGAGGGGCGCCGCGCCCCGCCCCCGAAAUUUUGCGCCCCUCUGCCUUUUUUAAGCGCUACUGCGCCCCUCUGUGCCCUUUUGAAAAAAAGUUUAAAAAAACGAUCUUUUUUCCUCAUAUCGUCGCCAUUUUGUUGAGGUCUUUAUACACACACUUCAUUAAGACAACAGAUUAAAAUUGUUGACACUUGUUACCUGUAUAUAAUCACCUAUUUGAUUAGAGUCAAUUACUUAAUCAGGUGAAAUUUACGACCCUGUCUAAUCCCUUUGCCCUGAAGCACCAAACAUCGAAGUUAAAUGAAUUGAUUAUUUUAACACCUGACGAUGCAAAAUAGAAUUUAUAAAAUAAAUGUGAACGGUAGAACAGUGUUCAUUUCUAUUGUAUUUGUUAUUUAUAAAAUAACGUUCAUUUAAAAAGAAUCAUUCCAAUAGGUCAACACGCAAAAUGCCGACGAAAAAAAGAAAAAUUGACCAACUCGGAAAUGACAAGAAAAAAAUAUCAAAGACUUGCCAGUCUAUUACAUCUUUUUUCAAGAAUAAUGACCAUCAAAAGUAAAAAAAUAAUUUAAUUCUUUACCUUUAUGAAAAAUCGAGAAAAAGAAAGGUUUUUAUCAAAUAUCGCAAUUGUUCUUCUAUUGUAAAUUCCGCCGAUUACGGAGCACUCGAAAGUCCGAUUUUUAUAUCAUUUUU